rnacentral:SRP_RNA from 1 species
GCAGCUGGAGGCCGCGAAGGAGUACUACGUGAAGCUCACGCCCUCCUGCGUCGACGCCGGGAUCUCCGGAGAGGAGCGCAUUCAGCGGAGGAACGAGGAGGUCCAGACCCUGAAGGAGGCGUUCAAGAU